AUGACGGUUGUAGUUCCUCAAAUCUCGAAGCAAACCAGGCUUUGUUAGGAUAGACUAUGAGUACUAAUGAGGAGAUUAUCUAGUAGCAUAGGAGAUUAGGAUAUCCAUCUUUUUCUACUUUAAAAAGGUUAUAUCAUAAUUUAUUUAGAAGUUGUAACUCGAAAUUACUAGUUUGUGAUGCUUGUAAAUUUACUUAACAUACAAGACAAUCUUCUCCUUCAACAGAUAAUAGAAGUUU
rnacentral:misc_RNA from 1 species